rnacentral:rRNA from 1 species
UACAGAGGUCUCAAGCGUUGUUCGGAUUCAUUGGGCGUAAAGGGUGCGUAGGUGGCGCUGUAAGUCGGGUGUGAAAUUUCGGAGCUUAACUCCGAAACUGCAUUCGAUACUGCGGUGCUUGAGGACUGGAGAGGAGACUGGAAUUUAUGGUGUAGCAGUGAAAUGCGUAGAGAUCAUAAGGAAGACCAGUGGCAAAGGCGGGUCUCUGGACAGUUCCUGACACUGAGGCACGAAGGCCAGGGGAGCAAACGGG